UCGCAGGCCGCUCCCGCCGCGGCUCCGGAGAAAUGCAGACGCUCGGGCUCCGCCCAGGCCGGCGCAUCAGAUCUGCAUGGCCUCCUGGGGGUGCGCUCACCUCCCCUGGCUCGUGCUCCCCUAAGCCACCUCAUUUGACUUCUGUGAUCACCACUACAGUUCUCCACGAUGGAUACAGGACUGAAUGAUCCAGGUGUUGGAUAUACUGUAGAGUGAUAUGCCAGACCAACAAGACCAGCAGGGCAGUCAGAGAAGGAAGGAAUGAAGAAUGAAUGAAUGAAUGAAUGAAUGAGGUCAUGCAUAAGGUCAUUUCAGAUAACAAUGGGCACUACGAUCAAG